CACAGCUUCCUCUCCUCUCACACUUCUCUGAGACCGUAGAGGGGCUCACAACCAUCAGAGCGUUCAGGUAUGAGCCUAGAUUCAGACAGAGACUUCUAGAGUUCACAGAUGCCAAUAACAUGGCCUCUCUCUUCCUCACAGCGGCCAAUCGCUGGCUGGAGGUCCGAAUGGAGUACAUCGGGGCCUGUAUUGUCCUAAUAGCAGCUGUGGCAUCCAUC